GCGGUGGAUGUUCUGGAUCACCAGCGGGAAGGACGCCUCGCCGCGGUAGCGCUUGCGCGGCUCGGCCACCGUGCACCCCGGGGGAUCGGCCCAGAAGGCCUUGUAGUAGGCCCCCCGGUAGUAGUAGCAGGUGAGGCGAAAGCCGCCCGGCGCCCACAGGAUGAAGAACGCAG
rnacentral:misc_RNA from 1 species